GCCAAAGUCAGAUGCUUAACCAACUGAGCCACCCAGGUGCCCCUGUUUGUUUCCUCUUUUUUGACCAAACUAUCUAGAAGUUUGUCAGUAUUGUUACUCUUUUAAAAUAACUAGUUUUUGUGUUUGUUGAUUUUAUCUAUUGUUUUUCUUUUUUAAUUUCAUUGUUUACCCGUCUUUAUUAUUUUCUAGCUCUGUCAGCUUUGGUUUUAAUUUGCUCUUAUUUUUCUGUAAAAAAAAAUUCUACUUUUCUUUUUUCUAAUUAAAGCAAUUGAUGGUAUAAAUUUCCCUGUAAUCACUGCAUUAGCUAUGUGCCACAAGUUUUGAUGUGGUGUGUUUUCAUUUCCAGUCAUUAAGUGUUUUCUAAUUUCCUUUGUGAUAUUUUUCUUUGAUCCAUAGAUGCACUUAAAAUUGUGGUGGUUAAUUUCUAAAUCUUCAGUGGUUUUCCAGAUAGCUUCUGUUACUGAUUUUUGGUUUCAGUAAGUUCAAAGCUUAAUGCUGUUGAUAUGAGAGAAGGGUAUGGGGAAGUCAGAAUUUCAUCCUGUUUACAGGGCCGCUGAUCACCACAUGCACGUGUAUGCCACCAAGGGAGGCUCACCUAGUUUCCCACUCUUCUUCAAUCAUUGUUGUGUUGCUCUAUAAACUGUUAAUUUAUCCUAGUUAUUAUAAACUGUCAUGCUAGCCUUUAACUUUGUAUCCGUUUGCCAGAUCUCUUCUUAUCUGCCUCUACUGAAGUCACUUCCUCCUCCAUGCUCUGCUGAGGUGAAAACAUUUGUGUGUCCUAUUUCUGUGCCAAGAUGUGUAUCAUUCUUUGGAAUUUGGAUGCCUGGUAGCCUCAGUUCUCUGACAGGGUCACCAAAUAUUAUGAUUGUAUAAGUUUUCCAGCUUCUUUGCUGUUUUUAGGAACAAUGGCUCAAGUGAUAUUUUCUUGUAGCUUUCUGCAUCUUUAGUGAAAGUGGAACUUCAAUGUCAGGGGUUUUUGGUAUUUCGAUAUUAAGUAAAUGAUCCAAGCUUCCAUAACUAGGAAGUGGUGUCGAACUCCAAAACUCACUUUCCCUCCAUGAUAUCACAUUGAAUUAUAAACUCUUUAAAGACCUGAGGUAAUGUUGUUAUACUUAUAUAGGGUUUUUCCAGUUAAGAACACUGAAGUUUUGGCAGUUUGUAGCUAAUUGAAUCUUCGUAGUCUUGUGAUUUGCCCAUUAUUAAUGUCCUUAUAGGUGAAAAAAAAUCACUAUUUAAUAACUUGAGCUGCUAAAUAAUAAAGGUAAAACUAAAACCUGCUUCCAAGCACACAGAGCUUCCCCAAUUCCAUGUUGAUGUGGAUAUUUAAAAUAGAUAUAUCCAUGUGGAUUAUUUAAAUGUUGAGUUUAUUUCCUAAAAGAUAAAAAUAUUAGUGAGAAGUUUAGUUCUUAAAAAGGACAACUCAUUAAUGAGAAAUUGUACUUAAUCCAGUUUACUAAUUCUAGAGCUACUUUUAGCCAUCAAUAUCAUUCCUUUCUAUAGAUAAAAGCCAAUGGAUGAUGCUCUUUGAAACUGUGCUGUUGUUUUAGGAAAAAAAAAAAAAAGAUAGAUUUUGCUGUUGUUGUAAUGAGCUAAACUGCUUCAGAAAUAAUGUCAACAUUUCUUUCCUAGCAUUUUUCUAUCAGUGGGAGACCAUCAUUAGAGCACAAAUUAGUAUUUUAUUAAUAUUAUCACUUACACAUGCCAUUUUUAAUAAUCCAUGCACAAUUAUACUGAAAAAUUAAAGAGACAUGCACAAUUCAUCUAAAGGCAAAGCAAACAUUAUUUGUAAACUUACAGAUAUUUUAGACAUUGAGAUUUAUACAAUGUUAAAUUGAAGCAAGUGGAUAGUCCGCUUAUGCCAAAUGUAUGAGAUAACAUAAAUGUGAAUAGGAUGUUCUUCCUAGUAUAGGUUUUAAGUGAAAUGCAUUCUAUUCCUAAAAGUUGUUCCUAAGCCACAUGAAAUGAAAUGGUAAAGUUUUGAGUUUAUAGAAUGGAAACCUUCUAUAUCUCAAAUAUCUUUAUAUUGUAAUAGGUUUCAGGUCAAGAUCCUAGAAAUAAUUAGGAAUGUGAAGUGUGUAGUAAGAUUUAAAGAACAUGACAAACCCUAGUGUCUCAAAAUAUAUUCUAUAGUGCCUAGAUUACUGUCAUUAAAUUAUGUUUGUAGGUUUAGUGCAUUUCUUCUAAUGGACCCUGGCAAUUUCACCUUUUUUUCUAGAGGAGGUGAAAAAAAGACCAGGUUAACCAGUUUUCAUUUGCAAAAAGGAUGGCACUGAGAGAAUGGAAUUAUGGUCAGAUGAGUUUGUAUCGGAGAUAGAUCGGAAAGGGUGUAGAACUUAUGACAUUUCCUCAGAGUAAGAGACCUUAAUAAACAUGAAUACAUCGGGCAUAUGAAAGAGGAGAAUGGUAGUGGAGUAAAAUAUUUCAAUUCUCUGAUCGUUUUUCCCAGACACUUAGUAAAGAACAUACUUGCUAACAUGGAUACUAUCUAGUUCUUGUUAAAUCCAAAUCAAAGAGUGUACACUAUUUACCAAAUAUCCACCAUGUAUGAGGCAUUAUUUUGGGAGUGACAGGACACAAAAAUAAGAAUCUUUGUUCCUUCAGGGACUCUAUGAUCUAUUUGGGGAUAUAUCGUUACAGAAAAAAGCAAAGAUAAGCAACAGCAAAGAUAAAUAUCUGCAAAAGGAACUGACAAUGCUCAUUGAGUUUUACAGCAAAGUGUAUUUACAGUUCCUAGAAUGAGAUAAUUGGGACCAAAUUCCAAUGAGGAGGUAGGAUUUGAAAUGGACCCUGUGACUGAGAAAAGUUUGGAUGAGUGGAAUACAGAAGUGGCAUCUUCCAAAGGGAGUUAAUCAGAAGAAGCAAAAUACAAGAGCAGGAGACAAAUUUGGCUGGAGUGAUUCUCAGUGGGGAAAGGUGGAAGAUUAGUGAGGAGUUUUAGGACAGGAUUCAAUUGUGGAGUCUACUGCUCAAGCCCCUCUUACUCUUUCCUUAAAUGUAAUGUUGCCUUGGUCUCCAUCCUCAAACCCAUUAUCACUUUGCAUAAUCUCCCUUGGGACCUCACAUCCUCUCCCAAAACUCCAGGUACUAAGAGUAUGUGUUGAAAAUGUUCACGCUUGUGUCUCUAGCUAUUAAUAUUUCUCUUUUGCUGUACCUCGAGCUAGUAUACCCAGUUGUUCAUCAGCUUGCUCUACUUGAAUGUCUCCCGACUUGAAUAGUCUCCGACUAUUAGAGAAACUAAUGGUACUCCAACCUGUUACCAUAAUCUAGCUCAACCCCCUCUCCAAACUCCUCCUUUUCCUGCACUCUUGUCUUUUGAACUUGUAUGAUGUUGGGCAAGUUGCUUAAGCUCUGUAUACCUCGAUAUCUUUGAAAAAAAUAGGGAUAAAAUUGUUAUUUUUAGGAGUUUCUGGGAGGACAAAAACAAGUCAAAAUAUGCAAAACUAGAAGAACUGUGCUAACCCCAUAAUAAAUCCUCUCCCUCAAAAAAUAUCAUUUUUAAGCCAUUUAAGCCAGUAUGUUUCAUUACCUUUCUGUCAAUGUUUAAUUGGUCACCAAAUGCUAUCAAAUAUAUGCUCCUCCAUUUCCUUCUCUCAGUCCCUGCUGGCAUGACCUUAGUCCAGCUGUGCAUUAUUUCUCAACUGCAUUGUUUUGAUAAUUGUAAUAAAUUGAUAAAUGCUCUCCCUAUUUCCAAUUUCAUUCUCUCCCCUCUAAUUUAAAAAAUGCCACCAUUGUGACCUUUUGAAACUGCACUGAACGAAAUAUUUCAAGGAAAAUGAGUUGCAUUCAUAAUGAGACUCAAAUUCCCUUCAAUAGCACACCAGGCCCUAUAUGAUCUGGCUCCUGUCUGCCUCUUUGUCUGUUACACUGCUUUCCCAGAGACUCCAGAUGCUUUAGAGGUAUCAAAUAUUACUUUUCCUCUCCAUUUUUGUCAAUGCAUUUCCUUCCACUUUCAUAGUCCCUUCCCCAAUCCCUUUCUUCUCCUUUCCAACUUUUACUUCUUUAUGACCAGGUGGUAUACUUUGUCUUCCUAAGUGUGUUCCCUCCCAGCCCAUUUUGGUUUGAAUGAUGUAUCAAGAAAACAGUGGGAAAUAGACCUCAUACUUAAAAGAAGUAACUUGAGGAGGGUUUAACAUAGGGAUUAUUUACAAAUGUGUAGAUAUGAUUAAGGAAGACCUAUGAAGGAUAGUGCAGGAGCUUAGAACUAGCAAAAGCUGGCAGUUAUUACCACCCUUGUGCCUGAUGGGGCAAGAGGAGGUCGUGCCUUGUGGUUUAUCCUGGAGAGGACCACCUGACAAGAGGUUUGGUGUAUUGUACAAUCUGUAGCUAUCUCUCAAGGAGGAAAUGGGGAAUAAGCACCCUGUCUUCAGAAUUCUUGCACCUUCUGUCCUGUUUUCAAUGUCUUCCAUUGUCUGAACUCAUUGUGAAGCCGGAAGGUAAGGCUGCCGAAACAGCCAUAAAGACUGCCUCCUGAGAGCACCACAGAGAGGGGCAGAAAGGAAAUCUGGAAGGAUAAUUGAAAAACAUUUCUGCAGUACCUAGUUCCCAGAACAUACCUUUACUCUAAGGUAUAUUGGUAUAAUGAUAAGGUAUAAGACACACACACACACACACACACACACACAUAUAGUAUUGAAUACAUGUCCACUUUUGUCAUCAGUUGAGAAGUGUUUAUAGGGACUGUCUUUAUAUUUUCUCACCAUUUAGCUAGGACCCAUUACAUUACCAUGUGUUUAAUGAAUGAACAGACAAAUAAAUGAAUGAAUGGCAUGUGAGGGUUAGGUCUGUGCCCUAUAAAAUUCAGGAAUCAGUAAUGUUUGAAGCUAAUUAUCUAAAUUACCUUCCAGAACUCUAGAUGUGUGCUGCAGUUCAGGCUUUGAUGUUAGGACAUGAUGUCUAUUUCUCUUUUGUGUGAUAUGUAAAUGAGUGCAAGUAUGCACAUGUGUUGUUUACUUCAUAAUGUUUAAAAAUGAUGAUGAGUCAGACAAAUACCAGACAAUUCACAAGCUUUAGACAUAGGAGAAAACAAUUUCUCUAAGAAAAUGAUCUCCAUUUAGUCAUUUAUUCACUUGACUUAACCCCAUGCUGCUAUUAGUUAUGCAGGGAAAAUAGUGUUUUAAUGACUCUUCAGAAAAUGUUCACCACAGGAAGAAAUACUGUAUGACUGGAAUAAGCUAAGAGGAUAUUUAUCUCUCUGUGCAUUUUGCAGGUCUUACCACACCUACAUGCUCCAAGAAAGACAUUAUAGUAAAACAGCUGCUAACAAAGAUGUUUAUAAUUCAUAUGGAAACUAGGACUUCAGAAAGAACAAAGUCCUUUUGAACACAUUAACUGGUCUAAAUAUAAAAUAUAAAUUAUGUGAUCUACUCUUUAUAUUAAUCAGUAUGAUUGUGUAUGACUAUGAUUACAACUAAAGAUAACUCAGAAAAGAAUAUAAAGAGUUAAUCAUGUAAUUCUGCCUCUGGGUUUUUUUAAUGAAGCAUUCUCAUUUUAAAAAAGUGAUGUUAGCUUCUUGCAAAAUGAUGAUCACCUCAAAUUCUUUUAUAACAAGAAAAUCAACUUUUUAAGAGUUUGAAGAAGACAUACCUUUACUUUUUAACAGAUGAGGAAACUGAUCUUCAAAGAGAUUAUAACUCAUGCAAAUCACUUUUCAGUUGAUUGCCAGGAUAGAAACCAUUUAUGGAUUCCUAAGCCUAAGUUCCUUAUACUGCAUCCUGCUAUCUCCCUAAUGCUACCCAGCACUAAGGGAAUAAGACAUCAUGUAAAUUUAGACAGCCAAUCCCCAUGAGAUUUGAUGUGGGCCUGUGAUUUCUGGAGAGAGCCAAGGACCUUGUUAAAGAAUACAGUGAUUCAUUUAAUAAGUGCUUUCAUACAGAAUAUGGAAGCCUAGAUCCAUUUAUAAACUGUAGAAUAGAAAAUGUCUCUGCUAAGGAAGUUUUGUGGAUGAAUGGUUAGAAGAUGCCAUGGUUAAUUAUUUCCCUUCAUAAUGGCUUAUCAAAGGAAAGCAGAAAUGGUGCCUGUGUUGUUUUUAGGGAAACAGUUUUGCUUAUGUUCUCUCUAUUUUCAUAGGCAAGGAGAAGAUUUUUUUCUAAAGUAUUUUUUUAUAAUGGUAACUUCUUACGGGAAUUCCACAUCCUAUCUUUCACUGAUGCCUACCCAAUCUUACCUCCUUUAUGAUUCUGUAGCUCAGUUUACUACCCUUCCCCGCCCCCCUCCCCCAUUCCCAGCCCUCUUUAUAGUCAUUUGUAUAGUCAUUUGAGAGCUGGAUAAAGGGAAAAAUGAGCUAAGAAAAACUAUUCAUUGAUUAAAUGGAACCCAUUUAUUCUUGUAUCAUGGAUGAAAACUAAUCAUCUGAAAUCUCAUCACCAUUUAUUUCCACCUACUCUAUGUUCUGGUUGCUGAAUGAAAAUCUUUAAGGCUUGGUGCUAUUUUUUGAUGUUUCUCCUUGGAAAACUAGUACUAAUCUUUGUCAUUUAUGACAGUUCCUGACUUUGGGACUGCUGAGUGCCAAUUUGGAAAAAAUAAAAUAUAAAGUUACCUGAGCCAUUUGCCCCACCCAGCAAAUACCAGGGACCUUUCCAGAAAUAAGAAAGGUGUUCACGUUCAGCGUAGGAAGUGCUAUCUCUAGCCAUGAACUUUACCAUAAGUGGCAGUGUAAGACAUCUGUCUUCAUCUGGAUUUUCCUCAAAAACUUCUCAAUCUUCACUUCUCUUCCUCCCCAGAAUUGCUGUUCCACCAGUCUCCCCUACUUCAGUAACAUUGUGAAUAUGGCCCCAAUUUGGGUGACUGAAGAAGAAAUACAGAGACCUGAGCUAAAUACCUCGAAGAUCAUCCUGUGGUCUCUCAAGAAUAUGGUUAAUUAUGCCACAUAGGAAAAGCAUUUACAAACCUGUCCAUCCACUUGCCUUAAGGUUGUGGCUAUACCUAAACUCUCACUGAUGUGAGAACUAAUUCCCUUAAGGCAUUUAGAAAACAUAUUCUGAAAUAGGUAUCAUGACUUGUUUGUGAAAAGAUGCAUAGGUUGAGUAUGAAUUCGAAUUAUGUAUUUAAGAAAAAAGACUAAGUAGUUGAAACCUAUUCCAAGUGUGGGGUAGUGUGUCUCUUAGAGGGAAGCCCGCGGGACUUGGGCUUUCAAAACUUAUUUCUAAGGUAUUCUUUGAAAUAUCUGGGAAUAGGUAGGGGCUCAGCUUCAGUAAGGUUUAGAAUAGUGUUUGGAAAGCUUUCAGAGUUAGGCUGUAAUGGGUGAAAGUUAACUGUAUGUUAUAAAUCAUACCAGUUUAUUAGCAGCAGGUGGGAUAAAUCCUGAAGUAAGUGGAGAAUUAAUGAGAGAGUGCUCUAUACCUAAAGCAUUUUACAAGAUAUAUUUAAGAUAUGCAUAUAUGACAGAUAUAGAAGAUAGAUAUAAGAGAGAGAGAACAUGUGGGUGAGCUAGCUGUAAAUAAAAGGCCUGGCAAGAAUAGUAGGAAGGCACUGACAAGGUGUCACGCUCUGAAACUGCAGGUAUCUGCCACUAAACACCUUGAUUUGAGGACCCACGUUGCUGAAGCCACAAAAAUAAUGGGUUGUGUAUCUGAAGAGAUUAUAAAAAAUGACUGCCUGAAAAAAGGCCAAUUAUUGUUUUCUAAAAGUAUUUAUUCUGGGCUUCUAGCACUGGUGAGCUGAAGUUUGUUCUUCUAAAAACACCAGGAGACUGGCAAGGGACUAAAGGAAAACCGAUACGUAGAAUGAAAGCUUGUUAAUCCUUAGAGAUUCCACACUGACUUUUCUUAGGAGUUAGUCUCAUUUCCCAGCUCUCUCAUAUCUUCACAGUUGUCUUCACUGGCCCUUUAUCUUAUCAGUUUGUCAAUAUAUAAAAAUGUCCACAUAGAAUUAUCACCACUUCCCUUGAUCUUGAGUCCCCUAUCGCUCAAUAGCUUCACUUCUUUGUAGCCGAAUUUGAAAGAAAAGUCUCUACCCACUGCUUGCCUCUUUCCUCCGGAUUGUCACACCCAUCACUCCACAGAAGCCGGCUUCUGGAGGUUACCCACAGCCUCUGACCUGCCUGUCUGCUGAAUCUAAUGGCUUCUUCUUUUCAGCUGUUAUCCUCCUUGACCUCUGUGGCAUUUACCAUAAUAAAGCAUCCUUUGUCUUCCAAAUCACUACUUUCCUGCAAUUUUCCUCUUAAUUUUUUGACUGCUAUUUACAGGUGUCCUUCCAAGUUUCUUUUCCUUCUGGGAGCUUGGGAAUAUUGGUAUUACCAAAGGAUGAAUUCUUGGUUCUUUGAUGUUCUAAUUCUCUUAUCGAUUUCCAUCACAACUGUGCUUGAUUUCCACAAACCUCUGUCUCCAGUUCAGACCUCGUGUGGGAGAUGCUAGUUACCAGCUUCACCUGGCAGGACUUAAGGCCUCUUAAAGAUCACAGAGCUGUUCCAUGGUAAGCUUUCUCCUCCUCUGCACUUCCGCUCUCUUCAUGGAGUUACUUCCCAGGCGUCUCCCGCUGGAAACUUUGGCAUCUGUGACUCCUCUUUUUCACAUCCCCAGGAACCAGUCAGACACUUCAGAGGAAUCGUGUAAUUGAAUUGGUGGCACAACAAGGAACGAGGCACCAUUCUGAAAGAGCUUCUUGCCUGGCAUGUCCAUCCUAGGUCCAGCAUCAUAGCCACUCCAGACACGUGAAUCACAAGGUACAAAUAUCCACUUCUUAGGAGCCUGGGUUUUACAAAAACAACAUUAAAUAUGAUAAGGCUCCUCUCUCCAGAUGGAGUCCUCUGGGAGGAAGAGUGGAAAGGGACAGUAAUGAAUCCAGUCCUCCUACCUGAGUGAGAAGACAAAUGGUCAUGAUUGUGUGCCUUUAGAGAAACUGGGACGUGGUGGGGUUUGUUUGUAAGCACCGACUCUGCCUCUUACCUUUCUCAUUGUCCUGUUCCACUUCAGACACCCUGAUCUGAAAGUCCUGCCAUAAAAUGUGGAAGAUUCAUAGAGGGGCUCUUUGAUCUUUUAAAGAUUGCCACUCACUGUUUUGCAUGCCCACAGUAUGUGCAUCUCAGCGUCUGCCUUAUAAACUCCAAAAGUACCGGCUGAAGAGACAAACUCACGUUUCCCAUCUCUGAAUUCCAGAUUUGCGUAUCCAAAUGCCUGCUCGACAUUGCCACUUAUAGAUGUGACAAGUAUCUCACUUUUAAAAUAUUCAUAAUUGAGUUUAUCAAUUUUCCCCCAAAGUCCUGUCUCCCCCACCCAGCCUUCCUCAUCUUAGUUACUUGCAAUUCCACUCUUAUGGUUUCUUGGGAUAAAAACAAAAACAAACAAAAAUCCUUGGAGUCAUUAUUGACUAGUUUCGUUCACUCACCUCUCACAUCUAAUUUGUCAGCAAAUCCCAUUUAUGGUAUCUUCAAAAUAUAUCCUGACUUCCAGCACUGAUGGGCUGGCUUGGAGCUAACUAAUCCUCCCGCUGAGAGCAACUAGAAAAUCUGGAUAAAAUAUAGAAAAACAUCUGCUUGAAGGCAUUGUAUGGUUUCCAAGGCAGCCAGGAUUUGAAAAGUCAUGAUGCCAGAUUAAAGAGAAUUGCAGAGAAGUGAGAUUUACCUUCUAAGCCACUUUUGCCCUUGAGGCACUGUAGGCCAGCAGUCAGAAAAGCUGAGCAGAAAGCAGUUAUGAGAAGUCUGGUGGUACUGGGGAGAUAAAAACUGGACUACAGGAUCUGUCAGUGGAUAGUCCCAGAUUCUCAGUUGAAAGCCCUAAAUGACAACAUACAAGGAAUAAGGACAAAACAAACAGAUCAGGCCUGAUAAAGCUUAAGCCCUGAGUGGGUUAAUGGUCCUACUCAGAACUACCCUCUAGAAGCUUAAGAAAAGCCCUUUUGAGAAAGGAAACAUCACCCUUUUGGUUUUUCUAUAAACUGUCCUGAUUAUUUAUAUAUAUAUAUAUAUAUAUAUAUAGAUAUAUAGAUAUAGAUAUAUAUAGUUAUGUAUAUGUGUGUGUAUAUAUAUAUGUAUAUAGUUACUAUAUAUAUAUAUAAUGCCAAUAAAAAUUACCUACAGGUGAUUCAGAUAUUGGAAUUUAAAAUAAGUUAAAAAUUGUGUUCAAGAAAAAUUAAUGACAAAAUGGAAAACUUUGCUGGAAAACUGAAAUCUGUCAUAAAGCAUAAGUGGAAAUUCAUGAACUGAAAAUUAUAUUCUGAUGGUGAUAAUUGAAAAAAAAUUUUUUUAACAUUUAUUUAUU